GACGAACGCUGGCGGCGUGCUUAACACAUGCAAGUCGAACGGAAAGGCCCUGCUUUUGUGGGGUGCUCGAGUGGCGAACGGGUGAGUAACACGUGAGUAACCUGCCCUUGACUUUGGGAUAACUUCAGGAAACUGGGGCUAAUACCGGAUAGGAGCUCCUGCUGCAUGGUGGGGGUUGGAAAGUUUCGGCGGUUGGGGAUGGACUCGCGGCUUAUCAGCUUGUUGGUGGGGUAGUGGCUUACCAAGGCUUUGACGGGUAGCCGGCCUGAGAGGGUGACCGGCCACAUUGGGACUGAGAUACGGCCCAGACUCCUACGGGAGGCAGCAGUGGGGAAUCUUGCACAAUGGGCGGAAGCCUGAUGCAGCAACGCCGCGUGCGGGAUGCCGGCCUUCGGGUUGUAAACCGCUUUCGCCUGUGACGAAGCGUGAGUGACGGUACUGGGUAAAGAAGCACCGGCUAACUACGUG
rnacentral:rRNA from 1 species